UACGUAGGGGCCGAGCGUUGUCCGGAGUUACUGGGCGUAAAGCGCGCGCAGGCGGCUCGUCAAGCCUGACGUGAAAGCCCCCGGCUCAACCGGGGAGGGUCGUCGGGGACUGGCGGGCUUGAGGUCGGCAGGGGCUGGUGGAAUUCCCGGUGUAGUGGUGAAAUGCGUAGAUAUCGGGAGGAACACCAGUGGCGAAGGCGACUACCUGGCCUGUUCUUGACGCUGAGGCGCGAAAGCUAGGGGAGCAAACGGG
rnacentral:rRNA from 1 species